rnacentral:rRNA from 1 species
AACGAACGCUGGCGGCAGGCCUAACACAUGUAAGUCGAACGAAGUCUUCGGACUUAGUGGCGGACGGGUGAGUAACACGUGGGAACGUACCUUUUGGUUCGGAACAACUCAGGGAAACUUGAGCUAAUACCGGAUGAGCCCUUAGGGGGAAAGAUUUAUCGCCGAAAGAGCGGCCCGCGUUAGAUUAGCUAGUUGGUGAGGUAAAGGCUCACCAAGGCUACGAUCUAUAGCUGGUCUGAGAGGAUGAUCAGCCACACUGGGACUGAGACACGGCCCAGACUCCUACGGGAGGCAGCAGUGGGGAAUCUUGCGCAAUGGGCGAAAGCCUGACGCAGCCAUGCCGCGUGAAUGAUGAAGGUCUUAGGAUUGUAAAAUUCUUUUACCAGGGACGAUAAUGACAGUACCUGGAGAAAAAGCCCCGGCUAACUUCGUGCCAGCCGCCGCGGUAAUAC